GAUGAACGCUGGCGGCGUGCUUAAUACAUGCAAGUCGAACGGGAAGGCUCUGUAUUUGUGCGGGACUCGAGUGGUGAACAGGGGAGUAAUAAGUGAUUAAUCUCCCCCUGCCUAGUGUAUAACAUCAGGAAACUGGGGCUAAUACCGCCUAGGAGCGUCAUCGGCAUGGGGGGGUGUGAAAAGUUUCGGCGGUUGGGGAUGGAAUGGCGGCGUUUCAGCUCGGUGGUGGGGUAGUGGCUUACCAAGGCUUGGACGGGUAGGCGGCCGGAGAGGGUGACCGGCCACAUUGGAACUGAGAUACGGCCCAGACUCCUACCGGAGGGAGCAGUGAGGAAUAUUGAAUGAUCGACGGGAGCCUGACGGAUGCACGCCGCGUGCGGGAAGACGGCAGUCGGGUUGUAAACCGCUUUCGCCUGUGACGGAGCGUGAGUGACGGUAAUGGAUGAAUAAGCCCCGGCUAACUACGUG
rnacentral:rRNA from 1 species